rnacentral:rRNA from 1 species
CCUACGGGUGGCAGCAGUGGGGAAUAUUGCACAAUGGGGGAAACCCUGAUGCAGCGACGCCGCGUGGGUGAAGGAGCGUUUCGGCGCGUAAAGCUCUAUCGGCAGGGAAGAAGAUGACGGUACCUGACCAAGAAGCCCCGGCUAACUACGUGCCAGCAGCCGCGGUAAUACGUAGGGGGCAAGCGUUAUCCGGAUUUACUGGGUGUAAAGGGGGCGCAGGCGGCAAUGCAAGCCAGGAGUGAAAGCCCGGGGCCCAACCCCGGGAUUGCUGUUGAAACUGGAUGGCUGGAGUACAGGAGGGGCAGGCGGAAUUCCUGGUGUAGCGGUGAAAUGCGUAGAUAUUAGGAGGAACACCGGUGGCGAAGGCGGUCUGCUGGACUGUGACUGACGUUGAGGCUCGAAGGCGUGGGGAGCAAACAGGAUUAGAUACCCUUGUAGUC